UACGUAGGGUGCAAGCGUUAAUCGGAAUUACUGGGCGUAAAGCGUGCGCAGGCGGUUUUGUAAGUUUGUCGUGAAAGCCCCGGGCUCAACCUGGGAAUUGCGAUGAAGACUGCAAGGCUUGAAUCUGGCAGAGGGGGGUAGAAUUCCACGUGUAGCAGUGAAAUGCGUAGAGAUGUGGAGGAACACCGAUGGCGAAGGCAGCCCCCUGGGAUAACACUGACGCUCAGGCACGAAAGCGUGGGGAGCAAACAGG
rnacentral:rRNA from 1 species